rnacentral:rRNA from 1 species
UACAGAGGGUGCAAGCGUUAAUCGGAAUUACUGGGCGUAAAGCGCGCGUAGGUGGUUUGUUAAGUUGAAUGUGAAAGCCCCGGGCUCAACCUGGGAACUGCAUCCAAAACUGGCAAGCUAGAGUAUGGUAGAGGGUGGUGGAAUUUCCUGUGUAGCGGUGAAAUGCGUAGAUAUAGGAAGGAACACCAGUGGCGAAGGCGACCACCUGGACUAAUACUGACACUGAGGUGCGAAAGCGUGGGGAGCAAACGGG